rnacentral:rRNA from 1 species
GCUCAAAGUAGGCCUCAAGUGAUGUGUGACUACCCCCUAAAUUUAAGCA